AUGAACGCUAGCUACAGGCUUUAACACAUGCAAGUCGAGGGGCAGCAUGGUAUCAGCUUGCUGAUACCGAUGGCGACCGGCGCACGGGUGAGUAACGCGUAUGUAAUCUGCCUGUAACAGAGGGAUAACCCGGAGAAAUCCGGCCUAAUACCUCAUAAUACAUAUUAUUCGCAUGAGUUUUAUGUUAAAGAAAUUCGGUUACAGAUGAACAUGCGUUCCAUUAGCUGGUUGGCGGGGUAACGGCCCACCAAGGCGACGAUGGAUAGGGGUUCUGAGAGGAAGGUCCCCCACACUGGUACUGAGACACGGACCAGACUCCUACGGGAGGCAGCAGUGAGGAAUAUUGGUCAAUGGGCGAGAGCCUGAACCAGCCAAGUCGCGUGGAGGAAGACUGCCCUAUGGGUUGUAAACUCCUUUUACCUGGGAAUAACGGGCGCUACGUGUAGCGCUGUGCAUGUACCGGGAGAAUAAGCAUCGGCUAAUUCCGUG
rnacentral:rRNA from 1 species